GACGGGGUGGUUAAGUGGUUAGCACAUUGGCCUUACAACUCCGGGGUUGGGGGUUCGAAUCCUGCCUCUGCCC